rnacentral:rRNA from 1 species
CGCGUGGGAAUCUGCCCUCAGGUUCGGAAUAACAGCGAGAAAUUGCUGCUAAUACCGGAUGAUAUCGCGAGAUCAAAGAUUUAUCGCCUGAGGAUGAGCCCGCGUAGGGUUAGCUAGUUGGUGUGGUAAAGGCGCACCAAGGCGACGAUCCUUAGCUGGUCUGAGAGGAUGAUCAGCCACACUGGGACUGAGACACGGCCCAGACUCCUACGGGAGGCAGCAGUGGGGAAUAUUGGACAAUGGGCGAAAGCCUGAUCCAGCAAUGCCGCGUGAGUGAUGAAGGCCUUAGGGUUGUAAAGCUCUUUUACCCGGGAUGAUAAUGACAGUACCGGGAGAAUAAGCUCCGGCUAACUCCGUGCCAGCAGCCGCGGUAAUACGGAGGGAGCUAGCGCUAUUCGGAAUUACCGGGCGUAAAGCGCACGUAGGCGGCUUUGUAAGUUAGAGGUGAAAGCCUGGAGCUCAACUCCAGAAUUGCCUUUAAGACUGCAUCGCU